rnacentral:rRNA from 1 species
GUCCACGCUGUAAACGAUGAGUGCUAGGUGUUGGAGGUAUUCACCCCUUCAGUGCCGUAGCUAACGCAUUAAGCACUCCGCCUGGGGAGUACGGCCGCAAGGUUAAAACUCAAAGGAAUUGACGGGGGCCCGCACAAGCGGUGGAGUAUGUGGUUUAAUUCGACGCAACGCGCAGAACCUUACCCAGCCUUGACAUCUCAGGAACCUGUAUGAAAGUACGGGGUGCUCCCUCACGGGAGAGCCUGAAGACAGGUGCUGCAUGGCUGUCGU